rnacentral:rRNA from 1 species
UACGGAGGGUGCAAGCGUUAUCCGGAUUCACUGGGUUAAAGGUGGCGUAGGUGGGCGGUAAGUCAGUGGUGAAAUCUCCGAGCUUAACUUGAAACUGCCAUUGAUACUAUCACUCUUGAAUAUUGUGGAGGUCAGCGGAAUAUGUCAUGUAGCGGUAGAAAUGGCUUAGAUAUGACAUAGAACACCAAUUGCGAAGGCAGCUGGCUACGCAUAUAUUGACACUGAGGCAACGAAAGCGUGGGAUCAAA